CUGGUCCUGAUGGAACUCUGAACUCUGCUCACACCACUGCAGGCUAGAGAUAACAACCCUGCCUUUGUUUACAUGAGCAUUUAUCCAAGGAUGAAAGAGAGGUGAGUCAAGAGAAAGCUCCCCUAUCUUGCCAGUUUUUCUCUCAAGCCCAGACUCUGAUUCACCCCAUAAAUGUGUAAACAAAUGAAGACGUUGACGUGAAUCGAGGGCCAGAUGUGGUCCCAGAAGAGCAGCUUACAGGCUUCCAUGGCAGCAGCAUCCAUAUUAAUCGAGCAUUUUUGUUAUAGGAACAAGGAGUGUGGAUCUGAUUUGGUUCCUGGGCAUUUCAGUGUCUUGUUAAAACACUGCAAUUUGGCUCGUGCCUCGGUUUCAACCACGGUUGUUGUUAUCCUUGCUAUGAUUACAAUUAUAUUUAUUUGUAUCCUGCCUUUUUCCCUGACAGAGACUCACUAGUGGUUUUCUUACAUUUCCCCCCUCAUAUACUGUAUAUAGAACACUUUUCUCUUGGAUUUGUCUGGAGCAGAUCCCAUCGUGCAUUUCCUAUUGGAUUUAUUGUCAUUCCAGAGAAUUAGGAACAUAGGAAGCUGCCUUACAGGGAGUCAGACCAUUGGUCCACCUAGUUCAAUACUGUCUACAUGGACUGGCAGUAUCUCUCCAGGGUUUCAGACAGGGAGUCUCUCCCAGCCCUACCUGGGGAUGCCAGAGAUUGAACCUGGGACCUUCUGCAUAUGUUCUACCAUUGAACUAUGGCUGUUAUUGGGUGCAUCCUGCAAUGCUCCUUUUGGCAUGGACAGCCAAAGACUUAUUGCUGCCUGAAGCAAAGGACAAGAUGAACCCCUCCCCAAUUUCACAUGCAGAGACUAACUGAACAGGCAGUUGACUAGAAUGUCAGCACUGGAAGUAGAAAAGCACCCUCCCACGCACUUGAGUGCAGCGGGCCACCUUAGGGCAGAAAUACCUCAAGGACCGCCUUUCCCCAUAUGAACCGACCCAGACCCUGAGAUCAUCCUCUGAGGCCCUUCUUCAUGUGCCUCCUCCACGGGAGGUCCAGAGGUGGCAACAUGAGGAUGGGCCUUUUCUGUGGUGGGUUCCCACCUGUGGAAUGCUCUCUUCAAGGAGGCUUGCCUGGCACAUUCAUUAUACACCUUUAGGUGCCAGGCAACAAAGUUCCUCUUCAGCCAGGCCUUUGGCUGAUUGAUGUCUUGUGUUCCCAUGAACACAGAUCUCUAAACAACAGCCGGAGCAUAAUUCAGAUGAAACCUAUAGUCCAUAAAAAGGACUUUACCUGGCACAAGGCUAAAUGACAACGAAAGACUAUGGCAAAUACCUUCUUCCUGGACCUUUGCUACCAGAUCUCUGAUGGUGUGAGUGCCUAGAGGAGAAUUGCUGCUGAGGUUGAUCUGACAGAUUGGGCAAGCUGAUGUGGGGAAAUGCUAUCUUUUAGGUAUUCUUGGUAGGUCUCAGGCUACUGAGGAUUUGAAAGGUCAAGGCCAGCACUUUGAAUUGUGCCUGGAAAUUCGGAUUGGUCUAUUGUUGGACAGAUAUUUUAGUACAGGCAAGCUACAUUAUGAUCAACGGAUCUCAGUUAACCGCCUAGCAGCUGCUGGGUUGUGAACCAGCUGAAAGUUUCAGAACAAUCUUCAGAGCAGCCCUACAUACAACACAUUCCAGCGAUCCAUUAAGAAAGAUACUGAGAGGGGGAAGUGGUGGCUUAAAACAAUGACAGAAGUUUACUAAACAAAGAUGGAAGAAAUUGAGAGGGAAAUGGCAGUUUCAAGCAAGUGUAGAGGUGUGAGUAAACCAGGGGUGGAGUAAUACUGAGAGGUAAAAAAGCAGAAAAUUUAAACAAUGGCAGAGGUUGGAGUAGAGCAAUGGGGGGGGAACACUGAGGUGCAGUCCCAUGCCGAGGGGGGUGGGCAGCUAGGUACACUUGCCCUGAGUCUUGGAGGGCUAAACUGGCUGGGGGGCCCUACAAGGAAAUGGCUGCUUUUUUGUUUGGAUUUAGGGCCGUGUGAGCAGUGUGGUCGCACUGGGUGUGCAUCUGAGAAGAGGACCCUGCCAGAGCCUUGCGCUUCCUUCCCAAAGCCCAUUAAGAAAUGUAAAUUUACGAAUGUGCUUGAAUUUGUUUUCUCCUUGCCAUCUUUCCUGUUAUAUCAUGUCUAAAUUGUGAGCCUGAGGGCACGAACUGCCUUAGUCUUGGUUUUUGUAAGGCAGUCUUGAGAACCCUUUUGGCUAAAGGGCAGGAGAUACCGUAUUUUUCACCCUAUAGGACGCACUUUCCCCCCUCCAAAAAUGAAGGGGAAAUGUGUGUGUGUCCUAUGGGGCGAAUGCAGGCUGUCGCUGAAGCCUGGAGAGCUAGAGGGGUCGGUGCGCACCGAGCCCUCUCGCUCUCCAGGCUUCACGCAGCUCUCCGCAAGCUGUGGGAGCCCGCGCCGGGCUCCACGACUUGCGGAGAGUUGCCUGCAUGCUGAAGCCUGGGCGUGCUGAGCUCAGCGCGCCCAGACUUCGCGCAGCUCUCCGCAAGGCGCGGGAGCCCGGCGCUGGGCUUCUGCAGCUUGCGGAGAGUUGCCUGUUCUGGGGGCUGGGGUCGGGGGAAGCUCAGGCUUCCCCCGCCCCAGCCCCACGCCUGGGGGGGAAAUAAUAUUUUUUUCCUUUAUUUCCCCCCAAAAAAACUACGUGCGCCUUAUGGGACGGUGCGUCCUAUAGGGCGAAAAAUAUGGUAAAAGGUAAAGGUAAAGGUACCCCUGCCCGUAUGGGCCAGUCGUGACAGACUCUAGGGUUGUGCGCUCAUCUCAGACUAGAGGCCAGGAGCCAGCGCUGUCCGCAGACACUUCCGGGUCACGUGGCCAGCGUGACGAAGCUGCUCCGGCGAACCGACACCAGAGCAGCACACGGAAACGCCGUUUACCUUCCCGCUAUAAAGCGGUACCUAUUUAUCUACUUGCACUUAAGGGUGCUUUCGAACUGCUAGGUGGGCAGGAGCUGGGACCGAACGAUGGGAGCUCACCCCGUCGCGGGGAUUCGAACCGCCGACCAUGCGAUCGACAAGUCCUAGGCGCUGAGGUUUUACCCACAGCGCCACCCGCGUCCCUAGCAAGAACUGAGAAAAAUACAGUAAAUGCUGCCAAUAGAUAAAUAUUAUAACCCUAUCCUCUUACCAAGGUUGAGUACCAUUCACACAACAUUUUGUUCAGGAGGUCACUUCUUGCCAUCUGCUAUAAUGUGCAAUAGCCUCUCAAGCUCUGGCUUUUAAAACAGGAUGUGUGAGUAAACGGACCACAGCCAUUUCCUUCUUUAAAACAUAAAAAUGUUUAAAAGGGUGUUUAAUCUGACAACAGAUCUGGUUGUACUUAGAAUAGCUGCUACUUGACCACAUUCAGCAACAUUUGCUCAAGGGAUUGACAACUAUUUGGGAUGGAAGGGGCGAGUAAGAAGCUGACAUAACUGUGUGCACACAUAAUACAUAUAAAUAUCUAUUGGGUCUCCCAAAUCCUCCCAAAAGAAAGAUAGGGAUACUGAUUUACCAAUGACAGAUACCAGGAAACAGAGGUUAUCCCUGAUAGAAACAAACCGAUGGAAGGCACAAGUGGGUCCUGCAACGAAAUGUUGCUGUGUGGACUCCCCACAUUCAGGAUAAUCCAUUCCGUUCCCUUUUGCCUCUUCCUGCUUUUCCUUCUACACAGCCCAACAGUCUGUCAGCUUCCUGCGACCACGGAGCAGGCUCAGUUAUCAGGCUGUUUAGGGGUUGUUCUGCCUCCCUGGCCCAUGAUCUUUUGUCCUUGACUGAUACUCCAUUGUGGUGCAUGGGUGCGACUGGAACCUGGAGAACUGAGAUCGCUACUGGGAUACAAGAUGAUGAUGAUGGAACCUGUGGAUGAAGGCUGCACCAGCUUCAUGCACAUUUUAGUUGGAGAUGAACUUAGCAACCCGGCUGCUUAGUGCACACACAUGGCUUACAGAGUAGGAAGGGACCACGAGGGUCACCUAGUCUGAACUCCCUGCAGUGCAGGAACUUUUUCCCAACAUGGGGCUUGAACCCACAACCCUGAGAUUAAGAGUCUCGUGCUCUACCAACUGAGCUAUCGCAGCUAAUAUUACAUUCAUAUCCCACCUUUAUCUCCAAGGAGCUCAAGCUGGUGCACACACUUAUCCUCACAACAGCCCUGCAAAGUAGGUCAGGCUGAGAGACAGCGACAGGCCCAAAGUCACCCAGGGAGCUGCAUGGCUGAGUGGAGAUUUGAACGCUGGUCUUCGAGGUCCUAAGUCCAGCACUCUAACCACUGCACCACACUGGCUUUUAAGGAUGAACACAUGAAAAGGCUACUGCUGAUUUCUACUCGGCUCAGUGCAUUCUGACAGCUGGUCCAAAGGUCAAUAUGUUGGCCAGACAGCAUUUCCCCCUGCUUGGCUGACAACUCUGGCAUGAAUCCGCAUUAAAAGGGUUACCACUCCCCCUCCCUUUUUAAAAGCUGCUUGCCGCCUGUGUCCUUAACAGCAGCCUGAACCGCAGAUGUUUGGGACCCUUUUCCUAGCAAGCAAGGAAGCAAAUAUGGAGAAUGCUUUUCCUGAUGAAUUGUCCCACGAAAGGUUGCUGUUAAAGAUAAAAGAAUGGCACCCAUUUGAAAAGUCGCCAACCCUAACUAUAGAGCCUGAGCUGCAGAGCCCAAGUAGAGCUCUGUUAGGUCCAGACCAAAGUCUUGCACAAUGGGGCUUCCCCCGUCUCUGUCCCCACUCAGCAAUUUUUCUGUUUGCAUCAUGGGCAAGUAGGGAGAUGAGAAUGAAACUCACACCCAUGUAAUAUUCACCUUAGAGCAGCAAACAUCUGACAUGACCCUUAGGAGGAAGAAGGGCUGAGCUCCUGUAGAUCUGCCCUAAUGAGACACCUCCCUUCCUUGACCCCACAUGACCAGCCAAGGCCAGGGUGAGGAGGGCACAUAACACCCUGCUCCCCCACCCUGCCAUUUGUUUGCCUGGUUCGUGCCGCUUCAGCUGGGCAGGGCCUCCCUCUCUCAUUUCCUCUGUACAUUGUUCUGAGUUUUUCAAUAUGGGGAAAUACACAAAAAUUAUCCCUGUGCCUUUGCCAAAAAAUGUAUUGAUGGGGGAUGGAGCUGGCGCCAUUGAAUAAUAACAGCGGUUACAGGACAAGGAGGAGAGUGUGAAUUUGGGGAGACUCCUUGGGCUCUUUCAAGAUGGCACAGUGCUAGUGGAGACGUGGGCAAACUUGUGGCCAUUCAGACAUAGUUGGACUCCAUCAGGCCCAGCCAGCACGGCCAAUGGGAUGAUGGGAGUUGGAGUCCAGCCCCACUUGGAGGGCCACACUUCCCCACCCCUGCACUCGUGGCCAGGGUGUCUCCCCUUCUGCCGCGUCGAGCUCCCUUCCCCACUGCUCUCCCAGGACCAGAAGUAUGAAAAGGGAGGAGCAAAGACAGGCAUGUCAGCAUAGUCUCAGAUUGUUUGGGGAGACUUAGGCAGCUGUGGGAAGGCAGGGACUUCAGUCUCCACCACUGCCUCAUAGGAGCAAGACCAGCCCAAGAAGAGAUGCUGUGCUCAUCCAGCCUGGCACUCCUGAGCAGAUCCUGUUUCUUCUAUUAAUGUCACUCAGGGGCAUAGUGUGGUGGGUUCCCGGGGGGCUGUGGUCCCAGACACACCAUUUUUGACGGGGCGUAAACCAGGCCUCCCCAGCGUGGCCCAGCCACUCCACCGGCUGAGGGCUGUGUCAGCCAGCCGGGCUCCCCCCUGCGCCAAUGGGCAGGCGGCUCUGUGUAGCCCCUCUUUGCUCCAGUGGGGGUGCCAUCACUCAGGCAGGGCGGGUGGUGAGGGCUGGGCUGACCCCCCCCCAAAAAAAACUGGUGCGCAUACACUCUCCCCACUCACCAGUCACCAACUUUACACCACUGACUUCACUUACUCUGUGUAAUUUAUUGCUGACUUGCACCUGACAAUAGGGUAGCGGUUAAGAAAACAAGCUGUGUGCUGGGAAGUCCAAAUUUCACCCAAGCCUUGAAUUUUCUGGAUGAUCUUAGCCAGCUCGAAGGGUAGUGAACUACAUUCUACUCAGAGUAAGCCUAUCAAAAUCAAUGAACCUGAGAGAGUCAUUACCUUUGUUGGGUCUGCUCUAAGUAGGACUCACAUUGGCUACAACCAGUUUUUUUUCCCGGGGGGGGGACACAGAGGUACACACACCCCUAAACAUUUUGUGAAUCUUUGUAAUUUUGUCCAUUUACUGUAUUUAUUUUCCCCGAUUUGAACUAUAAAAUGGUGGUUUUCUUGAGUCAAAAUGAGAGUACCCCUAAACAUUUUUUAAGAAAAAAAGCACUGGUUACAACCUAUUGUUGUUGCUUUUGUUACUUUAUGUGGCCUUAACUCUCUAUGCUGUCCCUAACAGAUUCUGCAGGUAGUUUUAGGACAUACUGAGAAAGCACCACUGGUUUAGUAAAAAGGGAUGAAUUAAUUUGGGACGAGGGGACGGGAUGUACUGGAGAUCAGCUGGUGAGAGUGUGAUGCUGAAACCACCAAGGUUGCAGGUUUGAUCCCCAUAUGGGACUGCAUAUUCCUGCAUUGCAGGGGUUGGACUAGAUGAUCCUCAGGGUCCCUUCCCACCCUACAGUUCUACAGUUCUAUUAUUUAUAAGAACAUGUGAUUAAGCACCUCAGCUAUAAAUUUCUGCUCUUUCCCAUGCAUUGCUCCUUUCCAAGUACAGUACAUCACAAUGUACAGGGACAUCUAGCGGUUAAAUAACUGCACUGCACUGCAGGGGUAUAGCUAUAAGUAGAAAUAGAGCUAUAGACAGAAACAUACCAUUAUUCCGUGGUCAGGAUCAGGGAGAUGUAUACAAGCCCUUCAACAAGGGAAGGUCUUCUUAUGAGUGUGUGGGUGCCACACUCCUGUUAUGAAUUUCAGACUUCCCUGUGGUAUGAGUUUCUGGGUGCCAGACAAUGAACCCCCGGACUCAGCAAAUGUUAAAAGAUAAGCCAGGCCAGUUUCCAGAUGAGGAAAUUGCAUGGGAUGAUGGAGAACAAAAGGAAGGUGAUGAGCCCUUGGAAAGCCCGAGAGAGGAGGCUCUCUGCCAGAGGGCAAGUGGGAGGGGCCCCUCUCUCAGCUCUGAGUCCAUCAGAAGACAAAGCCAGAGUUUUAAACUAGAGUUUUGUGGGGCUGGGGUGCAGCCUGGUGACAGGCUAGAGCAGGGCUCAGAGUAUGAUGCUUGAUUUCUGUUUGAAUGCAAGGCUGCGGCUAUGGACGGGAGCAAUAAGACCUUCUUGGGGUGACUAUGCUAUGAACCCCUCCAUCAAAGGCUCAGCUUGUAUAUAUGUGUAAAAAAACUAUAUAUCACAAAGACAGCACCGUCUCCACUGGGCCUCCUUUCCAAAAGGAAACAGACCGUAGGUAAGUGCCUGGAACCCCUGCAAUCUUGCACUGCUCAGAGACUGGGGUGGUGUGCAACCAUAGGAGCCAACUCCUAGGGGCCAUGGGGGCUUUGGCCCCCACAAUAAAAUAAUUGAGGGGGCCUGCCCCCCAGUUGAUGGGCAUUGCCAUUCAAAUGGUUUGUGUGCACCAUGUUGCCUGAUCAAUUAUGCGGGGCUUACCUAGGCCCCCACAAUAUUUCCUUCAGGCUGGCUCCCCUGCAUGCAACAAUCUUUUGUAAAAGGGCUGAAGGUUCAGCUGGGUCAGAAUUCAAAGUAACUGCCCAUUGCACCUCCCCAUUCCAUGUUCAGAAGCUGACUGGAGUAACAGUUGAAUCUUAUUUCAGCAGUGGUGAUGGGAUCACAUCCUCGUCCACACUUGAGCUCAGCAGACCACUUUAGGGGGCGCAGGAUAGGCUUUGCGGCAACAAAGGAGAAUGGGAGCUGCUGCCCCCGCCAAUCUGCUGCCUGAAGUGGUUGUCUCACUUUGCCUCAUGGCAGGGCCAGCAAGUGCCUGCAAACAACACGGUCAGUGCACAUGGGCCAAUAUGACAAAUCAGAACAGAAGUCUUGGGGAACCAGUGAGCUUUUUCCAAAUAUAAUUCAGACUCCAUUCUGAAUUAAGCUGAGGGGAGUUCACUCUCAUGCUGCCAUUCAAUUUCCACGUUUGAAUCUUCUGUUUGCUCAUCUCUCUGUAGUCUGAGCCUGCUGUUGGGAGUUUCAAACUAAUGUGUCUGAUCCUCCAUUUUAAUACAGAAAGUGGCAGGAAAUGCCAUGUAAUAGUUUUAACUGUGCCUCUUUCAGUCAUUUGCAGGCUUGAAGAAACCAUCUUCUUCUCUCUGCAACUUGUCACUGGACGCAUGAGAAAGUCUGGCCAGGAUCAGCUUGACCACCCAAGCAACCCACCAAUCCUGGGCAGCAGCUUUUGGAAGGCUGCUCAUAAAGCAGCCUGCGGUCUGAGAGAUAAGACUCAAAAGAACUAAGAAGAGACUUGCUGGACGGGAGCAAAGCUCCAUCUAUCCAGCAUCGUGUUCUCACAGUGACCAGCCAGAUGCCCAGGGGAAGCCCAAAGGUGGGACACACAAAGAGCAGUACUCUGGUCCUCUGGCAAAUCCCAGCAGCUGCUGUUCAGAGACAUGCCUGCCUCUUCUUUCCUGCUCAUCCCUAGUAUUUGUGUGAUGCAGGCAAAAUUAUAUUGUUCCACAUUUUACUCUUAACCUUGUAGGCUGCUAUCACAUUCUUUUCUACGCAGAGAUCUGUAACACUCACAACUUGCUGCUCAGUUUUUUCUCCUCUGGUUAGUCGAUUGUGGGCUGUUGCCUUAGCUCUUGAGCCAGCUGUCUGAAUAUCCAUCUGGAUGAUUUUCUGGAUCCUCCCCUGAGCAGAUCACACAGCAGGAACAGGCUCCUUGAUGAUGUGUGCCCUGUAAUUAGACUCUGCCACAGAGGCCGAUGGCUCCCUCUGAUGAGCCACCCACCAAACUCAGUUUACUCCUCAGCCAUAGCUGAAAUAAAGGGAAGGGGUGGCAGCAGGUGACCCUGGAUGACAGCAAAUUUAUCCCCGGUUCCCAGUCCUAAAAUUAUAAUCUAUGUCAUGCUUGCAGUUCCUUCCCCACCCCAAAAGUAUGCCCAUGUGCCUUAAUUUAUAGUAUCUGCGUAAUUUUAUAUAUCAUUUAUUUUACAUUUGUCUUUACUUUACAUUAUAAAUAAAGAGGAGGAAAAUAAACUUCUCAGAGGUAAUGAGACAGUGCUAUUCUGGUUCAAGAUAAAGUGAAAGCAGGGUCAGACAAGAUUCUGUCCCCCCUCCCCAUUCCAUAUCUGGCUCUCCUCCAGAUGAGAGCCAAAUGCAUUCAUCCUCAUUUGCUUACACAGAGUUUAUGCAGAGGUUAGAUUAUUUUUGGUCUUUAUUCAGCUUGCCGGUUCCUCCUCCAGGUGGAUCACGUUUGGUCAAAACUCUCCACUAUGACCUGUUCAUCUUGGGUGCCCUGCUUGGCAUAGUUCAUAGCUUCUCUGAGUUCUUCAAGCCCCUUCGCCACGGCAAGGCAGUGAUCCAUGAAGGGGUAGGAAUCAUUACAUUCUAACAAUAGAGAUGCAGGCUCAACUCUUCUCUGGACAUGAUGGGAAACACCAGAGCCCAGUUUUAAAAGCAUGUUGAUUAUACGUUUUGUGUUGUUGUUUUCAAAAGUAAUAUAACAGUAGCUCAGUGCAGACCAAAUGGCACUUUAUGCAUGCUCAAAAACACUCUCUCUUGUUCCAUGCAUCUCAACAGUGCCAGCCCCGGAACUUUUGCUUUGAUGGGAUUUCACUGGAAAAUUUAACAAAAGCUGAUGCGCUCCCACUGAGCUAUGGCCCCUCCUUUGCGUAUCCUACCAGGAGAUUCCUACCUGCCUUCUGCCCAAGCCUAUGUGUCUCCUGGGCUGCUUGGUGCUUUGUGGGUCCCUAACCUGGAGCUUGGCCCAGUUCUCCUGCCAGGCGACCAGAUCUGCCCUGGCGCCACCAUGCCAUUUUCUAUUCCCUGCCCAGCGAUCACCGUUACUGCUGCUGCUGCUCCUGUUUUCCAAAAGACAGAGAGAAGAGAAGCACCCGCCCUGGUGUCGACCCCUUCUCAAUUCCCACUCUCCCAGCCUGAAGUCAUCAUGGUUACUGGUGUGUUUGUUUACACUUCCCCUCAUCAUCAACUCCUAGGACCCCCCCCCCCGCCUUCGCUCUCUCUUCCCCCACGAAGGGCCUCUCCUGGAUCCUGCACAGGAGCUGAGGAUGGGAUUCUGUGAUGAGUCACCUCGGAGGGAGAGGAGGGAGGGAGAACAGGCGCGUCUUCCAAUCAGAUGGCCAAGCGCCAUUUCCACCCCUAAGGCGUCCGGGGGGGGUCGUCCUCUGCAGCUGCUGCCUUUGCCAGAGCUAAUGCGCUGCACGUGUCACCGGGCAUCUUUCCCAGACCUCUCUGACCACCAGAGCAUCUGCACCCCCCACCCACCCCCUGGGAAUCAGAAGGAGGGGGGAGCGUGAAAGCACGCCCCUCCCUUUCACAGAUACAAAUGAGCCGCGAUGCUUUUAUAGCCAUUCAACGCAGGAUCCUAAAACGGUGUGACAGGAGGAUACCACGGCUGCCCCCCCCCCGACCACCCGCUUCCUUCCCACUCAGCCGUCGCUCAGGGAAAGAGCAUCUGGUUUACAUGCAGAAGGUCCCACGUGCAAUCCCUGGCUCCCCCAGGGAAACCCUGGAGAGCUGCUGCCAGUCAGUGUAGGCAGUAUUGAAGUAGGCAAACUCUGCAUAAGGCAGCUUUUAAGUUCCUAUGAAAGGUGAGCACACGUCUUUCUUACUUUUCUUACAAGGAAGGCAAAGUGUUCUUAGUUUCUUCGGUUGGGCUUAUGGGAUCAACACAGAAAAAUAAAAACCCCUCCUUACCCUCCCACUAUAUAUAAGGGUCUGGUAACUUCUGUUUCAGUGUAUCUGAAGAAGUGUGCAUGCACACAAAAGCUCAUACCAAUAACAAACUUAGUUGGUCUCUAAGGUGCUACUGGACAAUUUCUUAAUUUAUUUCGACAGAAAAAUAAGUUUCCGUUGCCAGAGUGGGGAACCCUUUUUCAGUCUCAAGCGUAACGGUGCUGUUUCUUGCAUGUGGCAACAGACAGAAUCUUGCCAGUGCCAUUUCAAUAUUGUGUUCUAACCAUAUACCUGCAAUUUAGCUCCACCUACCUCAUUAAAAGACAAUUUUGAGAGGCUGACGUGUGUUUCAAAAAUCUAAUGAUAAGUCCUUCUUUGACUGUACCACUCCAUUUUGCAAGGGAGGGGCCCACAUUUUUAAUCCUUGCUGCAUAUAGCAUACUAGGAAGAGGACUAGGUCUGGACCUUUUUGGUGUGCUAAUUUUAUACAUGUUAGGAGUUAUCUUUCUUUUAUGGGAGGCACUGAAGAAUGCAACUUCCCCUUACAUUUGAUAGAAUCCAAGAAGGAUAUGCAGUUUUGUUGAACAUAGUUUAAUUUUUAGUUGCUCCCCUGCCACUGAAUCUCUCAGUGCCUUCCUCAGCCCUGAACUGUUCCUCAUUGGAACACUAAUUCCAAGCCAAAUCCACAAACUGGGAACACAAUAUCAUAGCCGUGCCCCUAUGCCCUUGCCUUUGGAACAUGCUGUUUUAGCCACACCUUCUCUAUUGGACCUUAAUAUGCAUACUGAAUAGGGCUGCCAUACAUCCAGAUUUUCCCAUAUGUAGCAGGAACCCCCCACCCCAAUCAUUCAGUUUGUACAAACUUCACACACUCACACUCACACACUACAUAUGCCACACUUCUGUUAUAAAUUCAUAGAAAAAUCAACCAUACAUCGGAUUUGCACUGUUCCAUUUUUUUUUUACUCCAUAUGACAAGGACUAUCAAUGGGGGGUGGCUUGGUUCUGGUCAGCCAUAAUCCCUUCACCAUCCCAGCACAUCCACAGGAGCCCUGCCCAGUUGCUAUGCCAACCCUGAUGGUCCUAGACAGAAGACCAUCAAGAUCACAAAGAACUUGAAUAUGGGAGUAGAUUCAGCAUGGACUGAAACAAAGGACAAUGAUCAGAUCUUCCCUCUGGGGGCAGGAAACUGCCAACUCCCCUUUGUCUCCUGGAAGUGACUCAUGGGGAGGGGGAAAGGAGGAACCAGCCAGGUGACAGGACACUCAGGUUACCACCACUCCUCCCUCAACCCCUCCUUUCUGUAAUGUAUGCAUGAUGUUUUUGGGGGUGGGCUUGACCUAGAGGAUGGGAAUUUCAAAAGUUUUUAUAAGGUCUUGCACACCAUCUUUCUGGGUCUUUCCUCUCUCUUGCAAGUGAGUUGGAAGGGACCCAAAGGUUCAUCUAGGCCAACCCCCUGCAAUGCAGGAAUCCAACAACAUCAGGAACACCACAACUUCUCCACCCCUACCCAAUAUGACCCAAGGAACAUGUGACAAUGUUUCUCUGUUCAGACAAAUCUGAGCCUGAUUUCUAUGAAGCAGAAAUUAGCUGUCCUCUGAACAUGGGAAAAUUGUCACAAACAAUUACUAAGAAGUCCCAAUGGAACUUAUGCCCCACUCAGAAUCUUUAAUAUAAAACACUUUUUCUUUACCAAUCUAGCUGAGUCCCAGGUCCUAUCUUAGAAGAGGUUUUCUCCACUAGCCUCCUUCCUAGGGGAAGGAACGGUGCCUGCCACCUAUAACUUUUGCAACGGCUUAUAUUGAAAAUAUUUUUUUCCAGUUGCAGGCCCACUAAUCAGCAACACCUUUCAACUCAGAUAAUUAAGUGAUUAAUCCAUGAAAUUGUGCAUGAUCCUCAUUUCUCAUGUACAAAUGCAAGAACUGCAUUCCACCCUGUGCAAAAUGCGACCAGUCCUUGACGAAGGGCCUGCAGCUGUGGGGAGGCCUGCGCAUGCAGCAAUUUUAUAUAGCAAGGCAAGGCAUGCGGCACCCCGCUGGCAGCGCACAGGGAAGUUUAUGGAGGUGGAACAAAAGCAAGUCAAACAAAGUGGCCAGGACUGCAACUAUUAACACCCUGGUGUCUUUCAUUCCCAGCUCACUUCAAAUCUUCCCGGGCUGAUAUCCAUUCCCUGAAGCUCCUGUUGCUUCUUUGCAGCUGAAACCAUUAUUUCUAGCACAUGUAAAAACAUUUGACAGUACUUGGCAAAUGUGUAUUCCUGCUUCCAUUCUUUGUCUGGCCAGUGUCCAGAGGCUUCCUUAAAUUUCCUUGCAGGGGCUUCCUUAAAUUUUGAUGUCCUGAGGACAGCAGCUCUGAUUGUUGGAGUCAUCAUUACACUCCUGAUAAAAGGGCUGUUCUGUUUGUUUCCUGGUUGAUUUGAACUUGGAUGGCUCAUUAGCCCAGUACAGUACUUAAGUCUAGGAGCAAUGCAUUUAAAAACACAAGGUGUCAUACAUGGUUAAUUUAUUCAUUUAAGACCAAAUUUAUUUGUUUAGUACAGUAUAACACUUUAUCAUUGGCUUUUCUAAGUGGUGUACUUAAAAACAAAUGAUAGUACAAAUGAAACAACAAAAUAAAAAAAUACCAUAAAACCAAACUAUGCCUUGAAAUGCAAGCUGAACAAGAAAGUCUCUGUCAGGUGCCUGAAGUUCAGCAAGGAGGGGGGUCUGCCUAAUCUUAGCAGGGAGGCGGAUCCACAGACUGGGGCCCACUACAUGCAGGGCUUCUGGUAGUUCUAAAUCAUGAACCUGGGCCAGCGGCGUAGCGUGGGUUGUCAGCACCCGGGGCAAGGCAAGUAAUUUGCGCCCCCUAACCCCUAACCUGCCGCCGCUGCCAGCUUCUUCUUGCUGCUGCCUGGUCUGGUCUGGUGUGGUUCUCUCCCGCGCUCAGCGCUGCGCUGGGCGGCCGCUGCACUGUCCCUCCCCCAGAUAGUCCCUCUCUCUCUCUCUCCGCACCGCACGCCUGGCACCCACCCCCUCCACAGUGGGUGGCGACCCAGCGGCUCGGAUCGGAUUCGCACAGCCAGCACUGCAGUGAGAGAGAGUGAGUGAGCCAGGUAGGGGCAGAGAGCUGCGAGUGCGAGCGCCCCCCCCCCCGAUGUUGCGCCCGGUGUGGCCGGCCCCCCUGCACCCCCCACGCUACGCCACUGACCUGGGCCUCAGGGUACCACCAAGAGAGUCUCCCCCAAAUAUCUCAGUGACUGGGGUGGGAUAUAAGAAGCCAGGUGGUCCUUACGAUAUCCUGAACCUAAGUCUUUAAGAGCAUUGCAAAUUAAUACAAGAACUGGUAACACAUGGGCAGUCAGUGCCAGCUUUUAUGCACUGGUGGUAGUCUGUCCGCAUCAACCCUCCAGCCACACCAUUUUGCACCUGCUAGAGCUUCCAGGCCAGACACACAAUACUUGCAAUACUUGUGUCUUGUGGGUCACCCACGGCCAACUUCAGGCUUGAGGAGGCCCUAGACAAUGCGCCCUCUGGUGGGCCCCUCUACUAGUGGGCCUUGCAGGGCUUUUCUGGCUGUGGUGGCAACACUCCCCUUUAAUUUACUACAAUGCCCCAGAAUAAUGCCAGGUCAAGUGCUUUGUGGAUAAUUAAUAGGGUGGGUAGCUUCAUUGGCCUGGCAUCGUUCAGAGUGCAGUAAAUAAAGUGAGGCUGGGCAAAGCGCCAACACCCUGAAGCCUUGGCAGCUGCCCAAGGAUGCUGGGUGCUGAUGCAAGCCCUGCACCUGGAAGAUCUCCUGCACACAGCUUCCAUUUGUAUUGAUGAUGCUCAAGCAGAGUACAGUUAUUUUGGGAAAUGGGAUCUGAAGACGUUUCGUCGGUUACGGAACAGAUGAUACAACCUGAUCAGUGCCUAGCUUUACUACAUCUGUUGUUAGAUGGCCAUAAGAAAGAACCUUUUCUACAUGUACACUGAUUAACACAAGAUUGGAAAGCAGAUGCUCCAGACGUUCUAUGGAAUAGAGCUCUUGUGGAGAAACCAACAAAGCAUCUUGGAGCACUAGGAAACACAAAGACCAAAUCUGAUUUUGAAAUGGUAAAGUACAUUUUUCUAUUUAAUACACAGGAAAGGACAAUGCCGUCUCAUCACCGCCAACUCAUGGCUCACUCUCAGACAAUCUGUUAGGAUGGAGGCUAGAGGACACUUAACGGUGCAUUCAACUUUAAACUAUUCUACAAAUCUGCUUAUUUUUUGAUUGUAUAAGUUACAUUACAUAUUCAGGGAAUGUUUCUUGUGGGAUAGGGG